rnacentral:tRNA from 1 species
AGCAGCUUGGCGCAGUGGAAGCGCGGUAUGUUUCUUACAUAUCACAGCCGGGCUCAUAACCCGGAGGUCACUGGAUCGAAACCAGUAGCUGCUA